GUCACAUUCUCAAAGCAAUGGAUCCACUUCCGCCUUUCUGACUUCUGGCCACCAACAUCUACAAUCCUUCGGGGAAAAAAAAGUGGUUUGUAGAACUGAAAACAGGAUCGGGGAAGCAGGAGGAGAGAAUGAGAAGGACACGCAGAACUGUGUAAAGGAGUGAUUAGGCAUGUCCUUCUGAUGUUCUUCAAGAAUGUGUCCCUCAAAACAUCACGAGACAAUGUUGCUUUUUUGUAAAGUUGACUUGCUAAGUUGCUAUUGACAACUUUCUCCGGGUAGAUGGCUCAACACAUGCUGUGAUAUUCUUUACAACACCCUUAUUACCUUUUAAUUUUAAUUUUUUUUAAAAACAUAAAUAAAGGUUAAAUAAAUAAAUAAAUAAAAAAAACAUGCAUAAACAUGCAUUUUCCAAAUAAUGGUUUACUCCCUUUACAGUUAAGAUGACUCCAGAUACACUCACCUGAUCUUAUUGCCUUGGGUGAUUUCUUCAGUGUCUAUAGUUAAAUAUAUUUUAAUAGGCAAAAAGAUCUUACCUAAUA